rnacentral:tRNA from 1 species
GCCGUUUUAGCUCAGCUGGUAGAGCGCAUGGCUUUUAACCAUGUGGGUUCGAUUCCCACAGCCGGGC